rfam:Sugiyamaella lignohabitans strain CBS 10342 mitochondrion genome.
ACUUAGAUAGUUCAAAUGGUUAGAACGAUUGUCUCAUAUACAAUCAAUGUAGGUUCAAUCCCUGCUCUAAGUA